rnacentral:rRNA from 1 species
UACGUAGGCAGCGAGCGUUGUUCGGAAUUACUGGGCGUAAAGCGUGCGCAGGCGGUUUUGCAAGCCGGAUGUGAAAGCCCCGGGCUCAACCUGGGAAUGGCAUUUGGGACUGCAAGGCUUGAGUGCGGCAGAGGAGACUGGAAUUCCUGGUGUAGCAGUGAAAUGCGUAGAUAUCAGGAGGAAUACCGAUGGCGAAGGCAGGUCUCUGGGCUGACACUGACGCUCAUGCACGAAAGCGUGGGGAGCAAACAGG